CCAAACUGAGGAUGCUUUUGCUGGGUCUUAGUUGUCCCAAGCAUUCAAGCUCUAGACCUCAGUUCCUUGCUGGUGGGAGGGAGGCACUGGCAGCUCUUAGAGGACAACCUGACAGGGAGGUCUGGGACCUCUAAGGGAGUGUGAAAUGCCCUUCUCUUUACUCUCUGGCCACCAUGAAGUGAGUAGCUGCUCCAAUUCAUGUUCCUGUCACAAUGUGCUGUCUCCCUGCAAGAUCCGAAGCAAUGUCUUAACUGACCAAGGGUAGGAGCUCACAAAACUGUUGCUUUUGGACAGUGUUUAUAACAGCAAUAAAGACCAAACCAGGACCCCCAAGACUCCAAUACAGAUCCGAUAGAGACUCCAAGGCAGAUGACACUCUGCAAAGCCAGCUUUAGCCUGUGGCAGCAGCACACACCUCUUCUGCCCUGCCCUGCGUCUGAGGUGCUGUCCAAAAAUGUUUUUCUUCUUAAACUGGGCACACUGGGGACAUGUUGCCUGUGGAUGUCUUCCUAAGUAAAAUUUGCUUUCAGGGCUCUGCCGUGGUCGGGACUCCCACACUCCUCGCCCUCUGGCUAGGCUAUUUCUUCACUCUGUGCCUUUGCACAGUGCUGGAUUUGGCUCUGUGCUCAUGUCUCCCCAGUUCCACUUCUUGAAAGUAUGCUCCUGAAUAUGUUACUUAGCCUCUAUCCAAAUCUCAACCUCUCUGUAUACUGAGCAGGAUUAAUAAGCCAGCUCCCCCCACCACACUCCCCUCAUUCAAGGUUUUCAAAUUCAGAGAGAUAAAACAUGGAUCUGCUGGUUAUGGUUUGUAAAGGAUUUGCAAAUAUAAAUGUUUUUCCCCUGACUUAGACUCUUGGAAGAAACCGUCACUUGGGUCGGAGUGCAGCCAGACUCGUGAGGAAGUUUGCCCCUUGUUGGUAUUCAUGAACAAGAAUUCCUGGAGAGAAGCUGUGCUUGGAAAGGCUGGUGCCAGAUUGAAACUCCGUUGACUUCCAGUCACCUUGGGCUAGCCAUUCCUUCUAAGGAGUCUCACCCACAUCUGUGUUUCUAACAUCCUGUGACUGACAGAUAAAAACCUCUUAGAAAGCA